rnacentral:rRNA from 2 species
UUAAUUUGAGAGUUUGAUCCUGGCUCAGGACGAACGCUGGCGGCGUGCCUAAUACAUGCAAGUCGAACGAACUCUGGUAUUGAUUGGUGCUUGCAUCAUGAUUUACAUUUGAGUGAGUGGCGAACUGGUGAGUAACACGUGGGAAACCUGCCCAGAAGCGGGGGAUAACACCUGGAAACAGAUGCUAAUACCGCAUAACAACUUGGACCGCAUGGUCCGAGCUUGAAAGAUGGCUUCGGCUAUCACUUUUGGAUGGUCCCGCGGCGUAUUAGCUAGAUGGUGAGGUAACGGCUCACCAUGGCAAUGAUACGUAGCCGACCUGAGAGGGUAAUCGGCCACAUUGGGACUGAGACACGGCCCAAACUCCUACGGGAGGCAGCAGUAGGGAAUCUUCCACAAUGGACGAAAGUCUGAUGGAGCAACGCCGCGUGAGUGAAGAAGGGUUUCGGCUCGUAAAACUCUGUUGUUAAAGAAGAACAUAUCUGAGAGUAACUGUUCAGGUAUUGACGGUAUUUAACCAGAAAGCCACGGCUAACUACGUGCCAGCAGCCGCGGUAAUACGUAGGUGGCGAGCGUUGUCCGGAUUUAUUGGGCGUAAAGCGAGCGCAGGCGGUUUUUUAAGUCUGAUGUGAAAGCCUUCGGCUCAACCGAAGAAGUGCAUCGGAAACUGGGAAACUUGAGUGCAGAAGAGGACAGUGGAACUCCAUGUGUAGCGGUGAAAUGCGUAGAUAUAUGGAAGAACACCAGUGGCGAAGGCGGCUGUCUGGUCUGUAACUGACGCUGAGGCUCGAAAGUAUGGGUAGCAAACAGGAUUAGAUACCCUGGUAGUCCAUACCGUAAACGAUGAAUGCUAAGUGUUGGAGGGUUUCCGCCCUUCAGUGCUGCAGCUAACGCAUUAAGCAUUCCGCCUGGGGAGUACGGCCGCAAGGCUGAAACUCAAAGGAAUUGACGGGGGCCCGCACAAGCGGUGGAGCAUGUGGUUUAAUUCGAAGCUACGCGAAGAACCUUACCAGGUCUUGACAUACUAUGCAAAUCUAAGAGAUUAGACGUUCCCUUCGGGGACAUGGAUACAGGUGGUGCAUGGUUGUCGUCAGCUCGUGUCGUGAGAUGUUGGGUUAAGUCCCGCAACGAGCGCAACCCUUAUUAUCAGUUGCCAGCAUUAAGUUGGGCACUCUGGUGAGACUGCCGGUGACAAACCGGAGGAAGGUGGGGAUGACGUCAAAUCAUCAUGCCCCUUAUGACCUGGGCUACACACGUGCUACAAUGGAUGGUACAACGAGUUGCGAACUCGCGAGAGUAAGCUAAUCUCUUAAAGCCAUUCUCAGUUCGGAUUGUAGGCUGCAACUCGCCUACAUGAAGUCGGAAUCGCUAGUAAUCGCGGAUCAGCAUGCCGCGGUGAAUACGUUCCCGGGCCUUGUACACACCGCCCGUCACACCAUGAGAGUUUGUAACACCCAAAGUCGGUGGGGUAACCUUUUAGGAACCAGCCGCCUAAGGUGGGACAGAUGAUUAGGGUGAAGUCGUAACAAGGUAGCCGUAGGAGAACCUGCGGCUGGAUCACCUCCUUUCUAAGGAA